AAAAAGUUUGAUUCUUGCUUAGACUUUUAUUUUAUAGUUAGAGCACAUGCAUAUUUUGGUGGGAAUAGAAUAAAAAAUAAAGUUAAUUUGUAAUAAGACGAAGUGUUUUGUUAUUCGCAGUGUGAAGAAUUAAAUAUUAGAUUAGGAUUUGAUUUAGUAAACUAUAAAAAGCUUGAUUAAAUUUUGUGCCAGCAAUCGCGGUUAGACUUAAGAGUUUAGUAAAAGUAUUUUAGUCUAGGUUAUUCUUAUAUUUAAGGAAAAUUUAAGUUUAUAACAAUAAAAGGUGAAAUUGGUUUACGGGGAUAAACGGAAGUUGGAUUAUAAAAAGGGAAGGCCUAAAAGUUAAGAUAUAAACCAGGAUUAGAUACCCUGUUAUACUUAAAAGGAAAAGACAAAAACUUGAGUAUUAAUAGCUAUGGUCUUUAAAUUCAAAGAAUUUGGCGGUGUUUUAGUCUUGUUAGAGGAACCUGUUCUGUAAAUGACACGACACGAAAAAUCUUACUUACUUUAGUUUGACAGCUUGUAUACCGUCAUUAUUAGAUAACCUUUAUUGAGAAAGUUAUUGAAAUUUAAGAAAUUAAAAUAUAUUAGAUCAAGGUGCAGUUUAUGGGUAAGGAGAAAUGGGUUACAAUAAAAUUUAUUUACACGUAUCAAAUGAUUGAAUGAUUUUUGUGAAGGAGGAUUUAAUUGUAACAUAUAAUUUAAUAAGUUAAUGUGAUAUGAGAACUAAAAUAUGUACAUAUCGCCCGUCGCUUCCAUUUAAGGUGGAAUAAGUCGUAACAUAGUAGGUGUACUGGAAGGUGUACCUAGAAUUAA
rnacentral:ncRNA from 1 species